UAAAUAGCUAGGCUUAGCAUUGCUAGGUCGUCAGCUUCUUAGAGGGACUAUCGGUGUUUAACCGAUGGAAGUUUGAGGCAAUAACAGGUCUGUGAUGCCCUUAGAUGUUCUGGGC
rnacentral:rRNA from 1 species